AGCUCAUCCAGAGGGGCAGAGGGAACGGCCCGUUGAAGCCCCGGCAACCAUCUCGGCGUAUCGCGCAUUCCGCGAGGCCGCCGGCGAAAAAGGUGCCAAUUCCGACCCGUCCGCGGGACAGAUGAGGA
rnacentral:ncRNA from 2 species